GGUAAGUCCGUGCAGGCGGAGCGGGUAAAUCGGUGGGUGCAAGCUUUAGCCGGAUUUAUUGGGGUUAAAGGGUCCGUAGGGGGGCCGAUAAGUCAGUGGUGAAAUCGCACAGCUUAACUGUGAAACUGCCGUUGAUACUGUAGGGCUUGAGUAAAUUUGAAGUGGCUGGAAUAAGUAGUGUAGCGGUGAAAUGCAUAGAUAUUACGUAGAACACCAAUUGCGAAGGCAGGUCACUAAGAUUUAACUGACGCUGAGGGACGAAAGCGUGGGGAGCGAACAGGAUUAGAUACCCCUGUAGUC
rnacentral:rRNA from 1 species